AUGGCGGCGACGGAGGCGGCGCGUCUGAGUCACCUGUGGGGCUUUUUACAACUCCACAGCCCCCUCCCCACACCCCGGUUCACUCGUCCGGAGGAAGAGGAAGGCAGUCUCCGUACACGCAGGGCGAGGUGGCCCGGCGGUGGAGUUUUCAAAAGCCCUACAGCUUCCCCUUACGUGCGCCACCCCACAAGCUUUGCCGAGGGCCCCGAAGUCUCGGAGCCCCGCGGGACAGUCAGACGUCAGGAGAAGUGUCCCCCGCGCUUCGCACCUCUUACGCUGCCUGCAGCGCGCACUGGACACCAAAGAGCCAAGAAGAGAGAGAAAGCUUUUGAGCAAGCCCUGCGGGGGAUUCCUCUGCACCCUCAAGCCUGAGCCACAGAUCCCAGCUGAGCAGCAUCUCAGAUGCCCCCCGGCAGAUCUGUGACUGCUCCAGAAGUAACUUGCUUUUUCUCAACUCUCAGCAUUCACAGCAGAAGAAACCAUUUAAAAUCUCCCUUUACUGCCUCCCGGUGUUACCCCUUGAACAGAGGCGACUGUGUGGUUUGACACAUUCUGUAUGUCUAUUUUAUGAUGUUUAAAAGAAAAAAUUGG
rnacentral:lncRNA from 1 species